CAGAAGAUGGAUGGCGUGUCAUGUUUCAUCUUUCCCAUUUCCUGCAGAAGAUAAAUGAAUGAGCUAUAAGAAGCAGAUAGGGAUGCUCUAAUUCAAGCGCUCCAUCAUGCCUUUCUUCUUUUGUACUAUAAUCCUAUCUGGGCUGGGCUGGGCGAGGCCUUACCCGAUUUCAUUUUAUUCUAGCAUAGUCAAUUUACGUUUGGGUUUAAAACAGAUUUAUGUGGCACGUGUCAGCCAACUCAAUCAUUCGGUUGAGGCUCGUCUCGUUUCUUGGCGGGCAAGGAAGGAUAAACGCCGCUGCUGGCACAAAUUUAUGGGAUAUAAAAAAUAGCAAAUAAAAGAAAGGAAAACUUGGCCAAGAAGGCACCAAACAACUUAGGACGCUCGACACUUUCUUACCGACGUCUGAGAGAUUCCGGCUCUGGGAGACCCUUAUUUGAAGUUCCAUGGCCAAACUCCUAAACAUUAACACCAAGGUUGAAAAUGUGUCUGAUAGUGCGAUGGUAAUGCAAGUGAUACAGAAUCCUGGCCAAUUCGAAGCGAGAAAAGCUGAAAUUCUACCUGGUAAGCAUAUAUAUAUCUGCUAUGAUGAGGAGCUUAACAAUGAAUAUAAUCCAGAUCGUCCGGUAUGUGUAUAUGUUUACCUUGACGGUCCCAUGAAAAUGGGUAAAAGAAAAAUAAAGCUGGCUGAUAUAAGGGUAAAUGAAAAACUCGAGUUGAACUACUUGAAUGGUGCUAUCUCCAUCACCCCUACUAAGGGACAUUUCAUCCAGAGGCUCGGGUUAAUUAUCAAAUUCAAACGCUUAAUUAACCGAACAGAUCAAGUCGUUGGGGGAAAUAGUCGAUCCCAACAGAUCGAUUGGAAAGUUUCGGAGGGAAUACAAGAAGGUCUAUGAAAAAUGAUGUCACCUUGUUUGCUCCCUUUUCCAUAGGCAUAUAUAUGAACUAUAUAUAGAUUUUGGUUUGGCUUGUGUUAAUUAAUGUUAGGGAAGGAUGUGAUUUGUAAGCAGUUGGAGGGAAUUGAAUACAUUUUAAAGUUUGGAAGUUCAAGUACGUGAGGCCGGGGUUGUAUAUAGUUUGGGAGUGAAGUGAAGUGGAGUUGAUGGAUGAGGACACUAAAGCUAUAUAUCCAUAGUUUUUUUGUCUUUUC